rnacentral:lncRNA from 1 species
AGAGCAGUCACACGCAGAGGCUUGGUGACGGGAGUGCCUCCCCUCUGUCGCAGCCCAGGACCCUCCGUGCCCUUGAAAGCAAGCGGCCUUUCUGUCCCUCCAUGAAUUCAUGAAUUCUCAACGCUUGCACCACCCGCCCUGCCUUCCAUCAGGGGAAAGCAUGAGAACUAGCGAGCCCGCUGCUGCUUGUGGAUUUAUGGAUGGGGAAACUGAGGCCAGGUCCUUCCAGCAUGUAACAGCCAACCUGGGACUCUAGCCCAGUCCUGUUCAGGGUGCUUUGGCCAGUUGGUCACUCGGCAACCCCUGUGGACCCCGGCAGGCACAGGCGCUGUUGGAGGAGGCCGGCCGGUCAGCCCUGGGGACCCAUCUUAGAACAGAAGGCGGCAAACGCUGGACUGCACGCUGUGACCCCAGGCACCCUGGCUCCCUCUCCGCUCCAGAUCCUGCAAACUGUUCACGCAUGCCCACCAUGUGCCAGGCUGGCCCUGGAGCCUGGGAGCAUCUCACAAAGAGCAGGGUGGUCCUGGCCACACCAGCCCAGCCUGUGCAGCUUCCGGCCCCUGGAGACUGUCGUGAAAGGUGAAUGAGUUGAGCCAGUGCCUCUGAGACCUCGAAUGUGCAGGACCUGUGGACACCAGAGGCUGGAGAAGACCCGGGGCUGCUCCCCGAGGUGCUGAUGUCGCUGGCUUGUC